CUGGCUCAGGAUGAACGCUAGCGGCAGGCUUAACACAUGCAAGUCGAGGGGCAUCGGGAGUAGCAAUACUGCCGGCGACCGGCGCAAGGGUGCGUAACGCGUGAGCAACAUGCCCGUAUCAGGGGGAUAAUCCAUGGAAACGUGGUCUAAUACCCCAUAGUAAUUAUGUAAGGCAUCUUAUAUAAUUUAAAGCUUUGGUGGAUACGGAUUGGCUCGCGUGACAUUAGCUAGAUGGUAAGGUAACGGCUUACCAUGGCUACGAUGUCUAGGGGUUCUGAGAGGAAGGUCCCCCCACACUGGAACUGAGACACGGUCCAGACUCCUACGGGAGGCAGCAGUGAGGAAUAUUGGACAAUGGAUGGGAAUCUGAUCCAGCCAUGCCGCGUGCAGGAAAGACGGCCCUAUGGGUUGUAAACUGCUUUUGUAUGGGAGCAAUAAGGGCUACGCGUAGUCCGAUGAGAGUACCAUACGAAUAAGCACCGGCUAACUCCGUGCCAGCCGCUGC
rnacentral:rRNA from 1 species